rnacentral:rRNA from 1 species
UACGUAGGGGGCUAGCGUUGUCCGGAAUCAUUGGGCGUAAAGCGCGUGUAGGCGGUCCGGUAAGUCCGCUGUGAAAGUCGAGGGCUCAACCCUCGAAUGCCGGUGGAUACUGUCGGGCUUGAGUACGGGAGAGGCGAGUGGAAUUCCUGGUGUAGCGGUGAAAUGCGCAGAUAUCAACUGGAAUGCCGAUGGGGAAGCCGUCCGGCUGGGCCUGUCCUGACACUGAGGCACGAAAGCGUGGGGAGCAAACAGG